UGUGUGCUGGCAGUGGCGGAGCAGCAGUGGAAUGAAAGGGGAUAGUUUCUUCUUCCCUGGAAGAGUGGGGGUGGGAUCGGGAACGGCAGUGAGCUAACACACAUUUCAAGAAUGCCACACAGUCUGGGAACUGAGCUCAGUCCACCCACCACCCACACACACACACACACACACACACACACACACACUCACACACACACUCACUUUUGCCCUGCAGGGAGAUGGUGGGGUGCAGGGCGGCACAGGCAAACAUGAGGGGGGAACAAACAUUCAUUCAUUCAUUUGAACUUCAGGUUUUAGAGCUCGUGCCUCAGGGAUCAAACUCCAGACCAAGUAAAGUGGAGGAUAGCAAUUAGCUAAAAGUGCUAACGAAAUAGCUUCAAGUCAGUGGAUUUAAACCAGUGUCCUUGUGCACGUAAGAAAAACAUGUAACAGGGUUUUGCAGCAGAAAACAAGUUAGUUGCACGUGAGCACGUUGGUGUAAAAAGAAGCAGUGACUUUCUAAAAGAUGCACGUUUACUGGACGCAGUCGACUCGUGUGUUAUUUACAAGCGGGUUAUGAUUCCCAGUUAUGAGCCAAAAGUUUAAAAUAGCAAGUUAUAGUGUCACCAUCCGAGGAGCUGGUAUUUGAAACCCAAUCUGAUACAUUAAAGGGACACGCCAUUCAUUUUACAUAUGAGGAUCUGCACUUCUAUUUGAACACACACUUUGUGGCACUUUACAUGCGAACAACCGAGAGCAGCACGAUGAACGUCUUCCUGCCUGAGAUUUCAGAAAAGUUUGAAAACAGCACAGGCUCCAUUUUGGUUUGAAAUCUUCAGGGAUGGUCUGGACAGGAAGUCGUGGAGACUUCUAGGAAACCAUAGUAAAUAGAAAUGAAUGACACGUCUCCACUUUCUCCCGCUGUCCAGAUAUGAAGCCAGACCGUCCCAGAUGCAAACGCUGCCGUCUUUGACGCCAUUUGGAGCCAGAGUCUGCGCAGUGGUGACCGGGGGACGGUGCUACGGUAUCGAGGUCCUGCCGAUACAGACGCUCGACCAAUCACAAGAGGCGGGGUGUGUGACCUACACUGCAGCCAGCCACCGUCUUUAUUUACAGUCUGUGAUGGAAACAAUAACAAAGACGUUAUAUUAAAUAAGCAAGAUUAUUUCUGAUGCGGAGCUAAAAAUGUUUUCUUUACUGAGGCUGUUUUUUAAAACCUGUUGGUGUGGACGUAGCCUAAAUGUUUGGAUCCACUGAAUUCUGCUGCUUUUCAUUUUGACCACAAAAAACCCCAAAGUUUAUGAAACUCACGUAUAACUUCAGAUAUAAAGAAAUUACACCUCUUGUUUUCUGCAUCUUUGUCUUUAAGUGUGUGUGUGGAGUUCAUGUGGUGAAACCGCUGUGAAUGACGACAGAUGUCUGCAACAACUGGACGCUCGCUGAGUCAUCAGCGUGUGUGGGAAGGUGGUCAAAAACAACUGCUGUUGCACGGCCGGUCUGUUGGGGGCGCCGUGGAGUGUGGUUGGGCCCAUGGUGUGGUCCGACCCCGAUACACUGUGACUGUGUGUCGAUGCUGUUGAGUCAAGAACCUGAAUCUGGAUUUACUGUCUUAGAAAAGCAGAUCCUUUCACAGUAGAAGGAGAAGAGCCCAGGAGGAAAAACUCCAGUUUGAGCUGGAUCCUCAAAUUAUUACAUAAAAAAAGUUUCAGACGAGGAUGAGGUCGUGUCGGUGACUUCAUCUCGCAGCUUUGUCUUCUUUUCCGCCACAUCACGACAUCUGGAGCACGACAAAUGAGCCGACGGCUGGAAAAUUCAAUAUUUACUCUGCAGUUCACGGGCUGCAGCUCGUGCAGCUACGAGAGUGAAUUUGGCUGAAGAGGAACAGAGACGUUAUUACGUAAAAUAAAAAGCUGAGUUGUGGUGAAAUAAACGUAAAACUAAGACGUUAGAGGUUGUGAAAUAUAAGUUCUCACGGUGCCAAACACUCCAGAUGAUCAUUUGUUCUUCUUGUUCUUCUUGUAUUUUAGUUGUGAGGUGACGGUUGUGUGUCUGGAAUUUGAAAUGUAAAAGCUCUAACAGCCACAUGAGACGUUAUCAGCUCCUUUAUUGUGUUUUCCUGCUCCUGCAUGUUUCCUCUGUUCGCCCUUUGUCCCGGUGAUAAGUCCCCCGCAGCUGGCUCGUUCCACAUGUACACUCUUUCUUAUCGCUGCUCAAACAGCAGGGGGGGCACCUACGCUCUCCUCAAGGUCACGCACACACUCUCAACUUCCACCCGUUUACUUGUUGUUUCCAGGAAUCCAUCAGGGACGAGAGGUGACGGCAAACUGGACUUUUUCAUGUCACGGCGACAAAUGUCAUUGAGUCCAAGUUCAAAGUGACUUGUCACAUCGUCAGACGAGCUGUAGAUGAAGAGGUUCGUCUUCGCCGCUGACCCAAAUAGACGUGAAGUGUAAAAGUACACACUCGUUUUACAGGAGAGGCCUCGGAGGGAAACAACCUUCUGUGGGUACAGAAACUGUUUGACUGUACAGACUGUAGUGGACUGUAGGUGUUUGUCAUAUUGAUCUCAUCACCGUUCUCGGGAUAUGAAAUCAUGUCGGUAGUUUCUGUGAUUAUCAGGAAGCUAAACUGAUUUCAUGGCUUUUUAUAGUUUAUGACUCAUUAAAACGUUUUUCAAAGAGCAUCAAUAUUUAUACCAUGUAGAUAACUGCUCCUCACAAGUUUUCCCCCAUAUCCUCAUUUCAUUGGUUGGCCUCUAACGUUAUCCAUGAUUGUUUAUGGACAUUAGUAUGAACUCUUGAGCCGGUAAAGUCUGGUGAAUUGGCUCUGGACUCAGCACUUUGCCUUUCACACAUGCACAACACAGGGGGAGGUUUUCUGCACAGACGCGUUCACAACAGACAGAGACAGGAAGUGACAUAUUCACUCAGAAACUGCAGAGCGUCCUCCAGAGAAAAUACAGAAUAUCUGUGGAGUUCAGUUCAUGUCUGAAAGCAGCUUCAGCAGCGAAGCGCCUCAGUUCAGCUUCACUGAGCAGCAGCUGCAGACCUUGUUUAAAGUGUAUAAUUAUAUAUCUGAACAGUUGUUUCUCCUUUCAGUCUCUGUACAGUUUAAAGUUCCCACCUGAUAGUAACUCUAUUGAUCUAUGACUCGUCCACCUGGUCACUGCAGGAAUGUCCCACAUUACCACAGACACAGAACAAGCUGUGACAGCUCCGGGUUGUUUGUUGCUUCACAAGCAGUCGGGGUUCGGAUGAAAACACAUGAAAGAUGUAAUUCCACAGAGGAAUUAUAUGACUUAGCGUGUGCACGUCUGUCUGUCUGUGCACUGUGACUGUGUAACUGCCUCUAAACUCAGUGACCCAGCUGAACAAAGGCCAGAAGCUGUGAUUCGUACUGAGGCUGAACUCCGAGAGAAACUUUAUCAGAACGUUCCGACCUCAGAAUCUGAAUUAAAGUGCAGAUCCAGUAAAUUGGAUAUAAGUGGAGGUCAUGAGAGCUGGAGUCAUUUGAAUGAUAUGAGGAGAGAUUCAGGACGUGCACUUUAAAUCCCUCUGAUCUGCUCCGAAUUGGAGUUUUCUGCCUUCAAAGGGAGAAUCUGCCACGUAGGAGGAAUCCAAGUGAUUCAUGUUUCUCCUCCAGCCGACAGGCUGCCUCUCGCCGACCUGCCACAUGUACAGGAAGGGAAACCAUGGCAAUGGAGCCCUGGGUCAUGUGUGACGCCAGCAGCCUGCAUUAGCUUGUACCUAUUAAAUGUCACCGCAGGAAGCCUCCGGUAACCGGCCGUCACACAAGGUCUCAUUUCUACCUCAUCGCUGACCUCUAAUCAAUAAAGGUUCUAUGAUUAAGUAUUUGUUAUUUGAUUUGAAUGAAUGUGUAUUAUCAUUAUUUAGUUUUGUUCUUUCUUUUGGCCAUUCAUCAAAUAAAGUAUUUUGGAAAAAUA